GCUCCGCUUCCUCUGUGACCAUGUCUGACAAACCUGAUAUGGCUGAGAUGGAGAAAUUCGGUAAGUCGAAAUUGAAGAAGACAGAAAUGCAAGAGAAAAAUCCACUGCCUUCCAAAGAAACGAUCGAACAGGAGAAGCAAGCAGGCAAGUCCUAAUGAGAUGAGCACCACCAAUAUGCACUGUGCAUUCCACAAGCAUUGCCUUCUUAAUUUACUUCUUUUAGUUGUUCAACUUUGUAAGACGCAAAGAGGCUGGAU